CAGAUUGAACGCUGGCGGCAGGCCUAACACAUGCAAGUCGAGCGGUAGAGAGAAGCUUGCUUCUCUUGAGAGCGGCGGACGGGUGAGUAAUGCCUAGGAAUCUGCCUAGUGGUGGGGGAUAACGUUCGGAAACGGACGCUAAUACCGCAUACGUCCUACGGGAGAAAGCGGGGGACCUUCGGGCCUCGCGCCAUUAGAUGAGCCUAGGUCGGAUUAGCUAGUUGGUGAGGUAAUGGCUCACCAAGGCGACGAUCCGUAACUGGUCUGAGAGGAUGAUCAGUCACACUGGAACUGAGACACGGUCCAGACUCCUACGGGAGGCAGCAGUGGGGAAUAUUGGACAAUGGGCGAAAGCCUGAUCCAGCCAUGCCGCGUGUGUGAAGAAGGUCUUCGGAUUGUAAAGCACUUUAAGUUGGGAGGAAGGGUAGUAACUUAAUACGUUGCUACUUUGACGUUACCGACAGAAUAAGCACCGGCUAACUUCGUGCCAGCAGCCGCGGUAAUACGAAGGGUGCAAGCGUUAAUCGGAAUUACUGGGCGUAAAGCGCGCGUAGGUGGUUCAGUAAGUUGGAAGUGAAAUCCCCGGGCUCAACCUGGGAACUGCUUUCAAAACUGCUGAGCUAGAGUACGGUAGAGGGUGGUGGAAUUUCCUGUGUAGCGGUGAAAUGCGUAGAUAUAGGAAGGAACACCAGUGGCGAAGGCGACCACCUGGACUGAUACUGACACUGAGGUGCGAAAGCGUGGGGAGCAAACAGGAUUAGAUACCCUGGUAGUCCACGCCGUAAACGAUGUCAACUAGCCGUUGGGAGUCUUGAACUCUUAGUGGCGCAGCUA
rnacentral:rRNA from 1 species